rnacentral:miRNA from 1 species
GACAUUCAGUGCUGUCGGUGGGU